AUAUGGUCAUAUCACGUUGAAACACCAGUUCUCGUACGAUUACUGAAGUUAAGCUACGUCGAGCCUAGUCAGUGCCAAGGUGGGUGACCGCUUAGGAAUACUAGGUGUUGUG